UACGAGGGGAGCUAGCGUUGUUCGGAAUUACUGGGCGUAAAGGGCGCGUAGGCGGUCCUAUAAGUCAGAUGUGAAAGCCCCGGGCUUAACCUGGGAGGUGCAUUUGAAACUGUAGAACUUGAGAUCGAGAGAGGAAAGUGGAAUUACGAGUGUAGAGGUGAAAUUCGUAGAUAUUCGUAAGAACACCAGUGGCGAAGGCGACUUUCUGGCUCGAUACUGACGCUAAGGCGCGAAAGCGUGGGGAGCAAACAGG
rnacentral:ncRNA from 2 species